AGUGAACGCUGGCGGUAUGCUUAACACAUGCAAGUCGAACGGCAACAGACUAUGGGGUUGCUACGAGGGGUGGCCGGGGGCGUAAUGGUUCGGAACGCACCCAGAGCUACGUUUUCACGCGGCGUAAGCUAGGGUAACAUACCCUGAGACCGGAUGCUACAUACGGGUGAACGAAGAGCAUUUUUUGGCCUCGCGCCUUUGGAUCAGCCGAUGUCGGAUUAGCUAGUUGGCGGGGUAAAGGCCCACCAAGGCGACGAUCCGUAGCUGGUCUGAGAGGACGACCAGCCACACUGGGACUGAGACACGGUCCAGACUCCUACGGGAGGCAGCAGUGGGGAAUUUUGGACAAAGGGCGCAAGCCUGAUCCAGCAAUGCCGCGUGGGGGAAGAAGGCCUUCGGGUUGUAAAGCGCUUUUGGUAGGAAAGAAAAGGUGUCGGCUAAUACCGGGCGGUAAUGACGGUACCUAAAGAAUAAGCACCGGCUAACUACGUG
rnacentral:rRNA from 1 species